UACGGGGGGCAAGCGUUGUUCGGAAUUACUGGGCGUAAAGGGCUCGUAGGCGGCCAACUAAGUCGGAUGUGAAAUCCCCAGGCUCAACUUGGGAACUGCAUCCGAUACUGGAUGGCUUGAAUUCGGGAGAGGGAUGCAGAAUUCCAGGUGUAGCGGUGAAAUGCGUAGAUAUCUGGAGGAAUACCGGUGGCGAAGGCGGCAUCCUGGACCGACAUUGACGCUGAGGAGCGAAAGCUAGGGGAGCAACGGGG
rnacentral:rRNA from 1 species